AGUUGUUCAAAAUGAGAAAUCGGUUGUAAUAAUUCAUUUGGGCCGUUGAAGAAGUGUUAGCCGGUGAAAAUUUCCGAUUCGAAGAGAAGAGACGGCGAUGAACAAUUGAAAUCCAUAAGGCGAGCACAAGAACGCACGGUGAUUGAUGAGGGAUGCGAGAGAUGGAGAGAAAUUAGAGAAAUAGGGUUCAUCGAAGGGGAAUAAAGUCUUGGCGCAAUAGAAGUUUUCUGGUGCAGAUCUAAAAGAUGUCCCAGUUUUACAGUUCUUCAAUGGCUUCACUUCUGAUUCUGAUUCUGAUUCUCGGCCUCGGUUACUUGGGCAACUCUAUGGCUUACGGUUCUCCUUCCGAGACAACUAUGCAUACCAAUAACUGGGCAGUUCUAGUCUGUACCUCUCGCUACUGGUUCAAUUAUCGGCACAUGGCGAAUACGCUGUCCUUGUACAGGACUGUAAAACGGCUCGGAAUACCUGAUGAGAGGAUUAUACUUAUGUUGGCGGACGACAUAGCCUGCAAUCCUCGAAACAAAUACCCUGCAAAAGUGUUCAACAAUGAAAAUCACAAGAUCAACUUGUAUGGAGAUAAUGUUGAGGUUGAUUAUCGAGGUUAUGAGGUCACAGUUGAAAAUUUCUUAAGGGUAUUGACUGGACGCCAUGAGGUUGCUGUUCCAAGAUCAAAACGCUUAUUAAGUGACGAAGGAAGCCACAUUCUUCUAUACAUGACAGGACAUGGGGGAGAUGAAUUUUUGAAGUUCCAAGACUCUGAAGAACUCCAGAGUCAUGAUUUAGCUGAUGCUGUGAAACAAAUGAAAGAAAAACAUAGAUUUAAGGAGCUGCUGAUAAUGGUUGAUACUUGUCAAGCUGCUACUCUCUUCAAUCAGCUUCAUUCCCCAGGUGUUUUAGCCAUUGGAAGUAGUAAGAAAGGAGAGAACUCAUAUUCACAUCACUUGGACCCAGAUGUUGGUGUUUCUGUCGUUGACCGUUUCACAUAUUACACACUAGCCUUCUUUGAGAGAUUAAAUAUGUAUGAUAAUACUUCAUUAAUCAGUCUUUUCAGUUCAUAUAAUCCAAGUUUGUUGAUGUCAACUGCAUAUUAUAGAACCGAUCUAUACCAACAUAAACUGGAGGAGGUUCCUGUGACGAACUUCUUCGGCUCAGUGAUGGAAACAGUUCAUACCGAUUCCGCUUACAAGAUUGUCCCGAGAAAGGACUCGAACAAGGCAGAACCCGAAUUACAUCAAUUGUCACACCACAAUGAAAGAACGUUAAUUACUUCAGAUAAUCCAGAUCGAUCAACUAAAUCAAGCUCAAGGGAUGAACAUGGUGGUUUAACGACAAGUGUAUGGAGAAGUUUGCAUAAUAAGAUGGAAGAGAUUGAAGAUGGUGAUACUUUUGUGAACUAUGGGUUGGUCAUUAUUCUUCCAUUCUUAGGGAUCUCCAUGUGGUUAUCAAGGUGAAGAAGCUGCUUCCUAUUUACCUGUUUAUCGGGUUUUUCUACGCUCAUCUCGACCCGCUGCUAUGUGUUGAAUAUGUUCUAAAGCUUUUCAUGUUCUGAACUUUUAUUUGUGGGGAGAGAUCAAAAUGAUGCCUCUAGCGGGUAAUGAGUUGAUGAUAGAGUUGUAGUAAUUUCUUUUAUGGUUUUUGGUUUAGGAUGUGGUAUUUUGUUAGUAUUCCCUUUGUUGUUCAUGUUAGACUUAGAGUUGUAGGCUAUUUCCAAUAUAACAUUUCUUUGUUCGUCUCCUA